GAUGAACGCUGGCGGCGUGCUUAACACAUGCAAGUCGAACGAAGUCUUCGGACUUAGUGGCGGACGGGUGAGUAACGCGUGAGGACCUACCCUAAGGACGGGGACAACAGUUGGAAACGACUGCUAAUACCCCAUAUGCCGAGAGGUGAAAUGAAUUUCGCCUGAGGAUGAGCUCGCGUCUGAUUAGCUAGUUGGUGUGGUAAAGGCUCACCAAGGCAUCGAUCAGUAGCUGGUCUGAGAGGAUGAUCAGCCACACUGGGACUGAGACACGGCCCAGACUCCUACGGGAGGCAGCAGUGGGGAAUUUUCCGCAAUGGGCGCAAGCCUGACGGAGCAACGCCGCGUGAGGGAUGAAGGCCUCUGGGCUGUAAACCUCUUUUAUC
rnacentral:rRNA from 1 species